GAAACUGAAAGCAAGUUGUAAUCUAAAGAAUCUAUAAGAAAAACAUUGGAAAUAGAAUGGUCAGGAGAUAUAGCAAUUUUACCCAAUCCUUUGACCAAACCUUGAUUUCCAUCCCCGAAUGUGAUAGCUCGUUGGGGAUCUUGGUUUUUCUCGUAGGAGGAGAACAUCUUCUUCUCCCCUGUCAUGUGGUUUGUGCACCCGCUAUCGAUGAUCCAACUUGAGCCCCCGGAUGCAUAAACCUACAAAACAAGUUUAGUUCUUGACUUUAGGUACCCAAAUGGUUUUGGGUCCUUUGGCAUUAGAUACAAGAACUUUGGGUACCCAAACUCAAGUCUUUGAUCCCUUGUGUUUGCCCCCAACAUAUUUGACAACUACCUUGCCGGAUUUGUUAGUUAAAACAUAAGAUGCAUCAAAUGUUUUAAAUGAGAUGCUAGGUUUAUUUGAUGCAUUAGGAGUUUUCUUCUUAGGCAAUUUUGCAUGGGUUGAUUGCCUAGAACUAGAUGUCUCACCCUUAUACAUAAAAGCAUGGUUAGGGCCAGAGUGAGACUUCCUAGAAUGAAUUCUCCUAAUUUUGCUCUCGGGAUAACCGGCAGGGUACAAAAUGUAACCCUCGUUAUCCUGAGGCAUGGGAGCCUUGCCCUUAACAAAAUUAGAUAAUCUUUUAGGAGGGGCAUUAAGUUUGACAUUGUACCCCUUUUGGAAGCCAAUGUCGUCCUUGAUGCCAGGGCGUCUCCCAUUAUAGAGCAUGCUUCUAGCAAAUUUAAAUUUUUCAUUUUCUAAGUCAUGCUCAUUAAUCUUAGCAUUAAGUUGAGCUAUGUGAUCAUUUUGUUUCUUAAUUAAAGCUAGGUGAUCAUGAAUAGCAUCAACAUUAAUAUCUCUACAUCUAGUACAAGUGGAAGUAUGCUCAACGGUAAAUGUAGAGGGUUUGCAAGAUUUUAAUUCUACAACCUUAGCAUGUAAUAUAUCAUUUUCACUUUUAAGGUUAGAAAUAGUAAUAUUGCAAAUAUCAAAAUCUUUAGCCUUAGCAAUUAAUUUUUCAUUUUCAUCUCUAAGGCUAGCAAGAGAGAUAUUCAAUUCUUCAAUCUUAGCAAGCAAAUUGGCAUUAUCAUUUCUAAGAUUGGAAAUUGAAUCAUCACAAAUAUUAGAAUCAACCUUAGUAAUAAGUUUAGCAUUUUCAUUUCUAAGAUUGGUAAUAGUAUCAUGGCAGGGGCUUAGCUCACUAGAUAAUUUUUCACAUUUUUCUACUUCUAGAGCAUAAGCAUUUUUCACCUUAACAUGCUUCUUAUUUUCCUUAAUUAGGAAGUCCUCUUGAGAGUCCAAGAGAUCAUCCUUCUCAUGAAUAGCACUAAUUAAUUCAUUCAACUUUUCUUUUUGUUGCAUGUUAAGGUUGGCAAAAAGGGUGCGCAAAUUAUCCUCCUCAUCACUAGCAUUAUCCUCAUCACUAGAGGUUUCAUAUUUGGUGGAGGAUUUUGAUUUUACCUUCUUCCUUUUGCCAUCCUUUGCCAUGAGGCACUUGUGGCCGACGUUGGGGAAGAGAAUACCCUUGGUGACGGCGAUGUUUGCGGCGUCCUCGUCGGAGGAGUCGGUAGAGCUCUCGUCGGAGUCCCAUUCCCGACAAACAUGGGCAUCGCCGCCCUUCUUCUUGUAAUACCUCUUCUUCUCCUUUCUUCUCCCCUUCUUAUCGUCGCCCCUGUCACUAUCACUAGAUAAUGGACAUUUUGCAAUAAAAUGACCGGGCUUACCACAUUUGUAGCAAACUUUCUUGGAGCGGGAUUUGUAGUCCUUUCCCCUCCUUUGCUUGAGGAUUUGGCGGAAGCUCUUGAUGAUGAGCGUCAUCUCCUCAUUGUCAAGCUUUGAGGCGUCGAUUGGUUGUCUACUUGAUGUAGACUCCUCCUUCUUCUCUUCCGUUGCCUUGAAUGCUACCGGUUGAGCUUCGGGUGUGGAGGGGCCAUCUAGCUCGUUAAUUUUCUUUGAGCCUUUGAUCAUCAAUUCAAAGCUCACAAAGUUUCCUAUCACUUCCUCGGGAGUCAUUAGUGUAUAUCUAGGAUUACUACGAAUUAAUUGAACUUGAGUAGGGUUAAGGAAAACAAGUGAUCUAAUAAUAACCUUAACCAUCUGUCACACCCGGCUUUAAGGAACAAAGUCAGGUGCAUCUCAUACAUGCGCCAAGAAGACAACAUAUAUAAUAACAGAGUGUAUAGAGAUAAAUGUCACAAUAAUCAGAGUAUUUAUUACAUAGCGGAAGACUUAUUACAAAAUAAAAUAAUAAAUAUAAAACAAACUAAGGAUCGUUGGCGCCAAUGUCAACUGAGAAACGCCACCUAGAUCAGAUCAUACUCCUCGCCUUGUGGCUCCUCCUGAACCACCUGUUCUUCUCCUGUGGGGGGGUGUGAGACAGCAAGAGUGAGCUCACAUACGUUCAUAGCUCAACAAGUUGUGGGGAAUAAUGUGGCAUGAAUUCACCAAAGGUGGGAAUUCAUGAAAUGUAAGGCUAAUCAAUGAAGUAAAGGCUGAGGCUGAGCAUUGCUUUUAUAAGCUGGUCAAAAUUUUAUUAGCAAUUACUAAGUGUAAGUAAAUACCAAACCUUAAUAAUAAUAAAGAACAGUAAUAGUAAAAUAACCCCAAAUGCGAUGCAAAUGUCAAAUUGAAUUUAAGUUCCAUAAAUUAAUCAUGUGAGGGUCCGAGCCGCUCAUGACCGUGAGCACGGCUAGUAUACCAGUUUUACACUCUGCAGAGGUUGCGCAUCUUUACCCACAAGUCAUGUUACCCAUCUGCCAAGAGAUGGCCAAUCCCAUACACCUCUACCGAGGAGGCGAGGCAGGGUAACACUACGAGGCCUUUACAAAGUUCCACUAGCUUCAGAAAUCCCGCUACAGUUUAUAGGAAGCUCCAAUGCAGGGUUCUUGCCUGACCGCCAUCACAACAAAAUCAACCAAGGACCUCCCUACACUGACCACUCCCCUACUGCCCUUGCCCCUUUCGGGUAAGGAAGACCUCCACUAGCUUUCCUAGUUAAUCAGCCAAGGGCGUCCCAUUAUACCCUUGUGGUAGCACUGUUUUCCCGGGUGGUCGCUCCAUGUUCCCAUUAACAUAAUGAUCUUAACAUGAACAGUAAUAAUAAAAGAGAAUAAAAGAGUAAUUAUGAAUAAAGUAUCUUCAUACCCAAAUCCACAUAAAGCAAUAGCAGGUACUACCCAAAGAAAUAAUUCAGUGGUGAACAAGGUAUAAAGAUAGCCAAAACUAGGGUAACCUAUUGGGUCCCAUCAAAAUUAUCCUAUGCAGAUCAUUAUAAUUAAUAAGAACAUGGCUGGGAAAAAGUAAGUGAUCAAGGGCACAACUUGCCUUCAAUGAGCUCCUGCUCAGCUACUUCUACUUGUUGAACCUCAGGAUCCAUAGUGGCUUGCUCGUCUACUCGCAUAAACACAAUACAUACAUAGUAUAGCAUAAAUUAACAUCACAUAAAACAUGCAAAUAAAAUACACAGUAAAAAUCUACACAUUAAAAUGAGAUCAUAGGAACUGGAAUCACUAAAUUUGGAGUUAUAGAUUUCAAGUUAUGAAUUUCCUAAGGUUUAAUGUGAUUAAAAUAGGAUUAGAUGAGAAAUUAAUUUUCUUACUGUUUUCAUGUUAAAACAGAGACACUAAAUGAUAGAGAAUAAAAUUACAAAAUUUUAGGAACUGGAAUGGUUCAAUUUGGAGUUCAUAUGAAUUUUCUACAAUUUAAACAAGUUUCUGCAUUUAAAUAUGUGCUAAAACUAUUUUCUAAAUGAUUUUCCCUGUUUUAUUAAUUAUCUGGACUGGGCGUCAUUUUCUGGUAAGCACAGGGUUCUCAGUGUAAGUUUUCUAAGACAUAGAGCACAGUACGAGUGGAUGGCGGGUUGAUUACUGCUUUCCUCGGGGACCCUUUAACAAAACGUACCCGCGAAGGGGUAUCGGCUCACUCUGGCCGUUGGAUCAGAGAUCGAGCGCCCAGAUCAGCCUACUCACUCCAUGAAUCGGUAUUUGAUCCCAGCCGUUGGAUCCCCCAUCAGUGGCCCUGCUUUAAUGAGCCCCAGUGCGAGUAAUAUCCAUCCGAUCCUGAUUGGACGGUCGUUGUGCAAUCACAGCGAACCGGUACGUGAGGUCUAAUCCGAGCCGUUCAUCGCCGAACUGACGGCGGCAAAGUUCUCCCCCCAACCCCGACGGCGAGCGCGGCGGCGCAGGGCUGUGGCACGGUGGCGCCAUUGCCGCCCGCGACCAAACUACGCCCUAGCGCACUAUUCUAAAAUCAAAAUGGUGCACUACGUAGAUGAGGGGGUAGCGAAUGUGGUAAAAGGGUCUUUACCGAAGGUUGGAGCGCCGAGAAGGGUUGGCCACGGAGCACCGACGGAUCACCGAGUUCUUCCGAUUCCGGCGAGCAAUUCGCGGGUGUCCAGUUGACGAUCCCGCCGCCAGAGCCACAGAAUACUCCUUGAUGGCUUGCGCAAGCCCCCGAACUACACGUAGCGCCCACUGGAGGACCAGAGAGGAUUCACCGACGGCGGUCGAUGGAAUCCGCGGUGGCGCGAAACUCUUCUCCUCUUUCUCUCUCGGAUUUGCGAUGCGGUUGGGGUCUCCAGGUUAUGGACUAGCGCGGACGGGUCCAGGGUUGUUAUACGGCGCAGGCGAGGUCCGAGGGCGGUCAGCAGCCCGGCGUUCUCGCGGCGGUCGUUGCGGCGAAGACUUCGCGAGCUCGGUUGCGAAGGAGAGGGAUGACAACGUGGCCCCACCUGUCGGCGCACGCAGAAGGAGGGCAAGUUGGGCCGCGCGCGCGCUGAAUGAAACAGUGGGCCGAAAUCCCCGCCGCCGGCCCACCGGCGACCUCAUCUCUUUUCCUUUUCUUUUUCUGAUUUUCUUUCUCUCUCCUCUAUUUCCAAAUUUAAAUUUUGAAUUCAAAUUUAAAUUCAAGCUUGUGCUACAUUAAUCCCUUUUACUUCUGUGAAAUUAAAAAAAACCAGUUUUAAAAUAUAAUUAUAUUAUUUAUAUUUUUAUAUACUUUCUCUUCUUCUCUUUUUCAAAACCCAAAUUUUAAUUUAGGUUUUAAUUCAACUUCUAGUAAUUAUUAUCUUAUUAUCAUUAGCAUUAUUAUUUCAUUUAAUGCACAAACAUAUAAACUCCAGCAUGAUGCAUUUUUUUAUCAUUUGUUUGACUUAAUCUCUAAAUGGUGUGUGAGCUCUUUUCUUAUGAUGCAAAUGAGGCACAUAAAAUGAAGAAAUCACUAUAUAUUCCAUGUAUACAAUUUUGAGUAUUACAAAUCCUACCCCCCUUAAAAAUAAUCUCGUCCUCGAGAUUUAGGAAGAUCUAGAGAAAAGGUGAGGAAAAUCUAUGCGAAGCUCUUCUUCUCUUUCCCAAGUUGCUUCAUCUUCACCGUGGUGGCUCCAUUGCACUUUGCACAUCUUUAUAACCUUAUUCCUCGUAACUCGAGUCAAUGUAUCAAGAAUCUUGAUGGGGUACUCAGCAUAAGUCAAAUCCUCUUGAACACUAAGGUCUUCCAUUGGUAACUGUUCUUCAGGCACCCUGAGACAUUUCUUCAGCUGAGAUACAUGAAAGACAUCAUGAACAUCCGCAAGGUGAUCCGGUAACUCCAAUUGAUAUGCAACCUCACCCACUCGCUUUAAGAUUAAGAAGGGUCCAAUAAAGCGAGGGGACAACUUUCCUUUGACUUUAAAUCUUCUCAUACCCCUGAGUGGUGACACCUUCAAAUAGACAUAAUCUCCCUCCUUAAACUCGAGCUGUCUCCUUCGAGUAUCAGCAUAGCUUUUCUGCCUGGAUUGUGCAGUUCUCAAAUUCUCCCUUAUUUGCUGAACUUGUUCCUCUGCUUCUUGUAUAAUCUCAGGUCCAAAUAACUACCUUUCACCAGUUUGAUCCCAAUACAGUGGAGUCCUGCACUUUCUGCCACACAAAGCCUCAAACGGUGACAUCUUCAAACUGGCCUGAUAGCUAUUAUUAUAAGAGAACUUCGCAUAAGGCAAACUCUUAUCCCAACUUCCACCAUGUUUAAGAGCACAAGCUCUUAACAUAUCCUCUAGCACUUGGUUGGUCCUCUUAGUCUGCCCAUCAGUCUGUGGAUGGUAAGACGAACUAAAAUUCAAUCUCGUAUCCAAUGACUCGUGCAACUUCUUCCAAUACCGAGAGGUAAACUGUGAUCCCCGGUCUGACACAAUCUUCUUUGGCACACCAUGUAGGCAAACAAUCCGUGCCAUGUACAACUCUGCUAACUUGGCUCCUGAAUACGUGGUCUUCACUGGAAUAAAGUGGGCUACUUUAGUUAGCCUGUCCACAAUCACCCAUAUAGAAUCAUAUCCAGCAGACGUGCGGGGUAAUCCAACAAUGAAGUCCAUGCCAAUCUCUUCCCAUUUCCGCUCGGGUAUCUUAAGUGGACGCAGUAGUCCAGCAGGCCUCUGGUGUUCAGCCUUAACUCUUUGACACCCAUCGCACAUAGCCACAUGUGCAGCCACAUCUCUCUUCAAUCCAUACCACCAAUAUUUUUGCUUCAAAUCCUGAUACAUCUUAGUACUCCCAGGGUGAAUAGAAUAAACUGAGUCAUGUGCCUCCUUCAAUAUGGUUUCCCGAAGACUAUCAAUAUCGGGAACACAGAUCCGAUUCUUGAACCAUAUCGUGCCUUGCUCAUCCUCUGUGAAUUCCGGGCCUCUACCCUCUGUCAUUAGAUCCUUGAUCUCCUGGAUUUUAGCAUCACCAACCUGACCUUUACGAAUUUCUUGCUCCAAGGUAGGUUCCAAUUCAAUGGUAAUUCCUUCCGUAUGUGUAACAAUCCCCAGGUUGAGUCUCUCAAAAUCUUUUGCUAAUUCAUCAGGUAGUUGGACAACGAAAGCGGAGUGAACAUGCUCCUUCCGACUCAAGGCAUCUGCAACCAAAUUUGCCUUGCCUGGGUGAUAGUGAAUUUCCAAAUCAUAAUCCUUAAUGAGCUCCAACCAACGGCGUUGCCUAAGGUUGAGAUCCUUCUGAGUGAAUAUGUACUUCAAGCUCUUAUGAUCCGUGUAUACUUGGCACUUAGUUCCCAUAAUGUAGUGUCUCCAAAUCUUAAGUGCAUGCACAACUGCUGCCAGCUCCAAGUCAUGAGUGGGGUAGUUCAAUUCGUGUUUCCGCAACUGACGAGAUGCAUAGGCAAUCACAUGACCUUCUUGCAUGAGCACACAUCCAAGUCCUUGGCCACAUACAUCACAAUAAAUGUCAAAUCCCUUCUGUAGAUCUGGCAUAAUCAAUACUGGCGGAGACAUCAAUCUCUCCUUCAAUUGAUCAAAGCUUUCUUGGCAUUUCUUAUCCCACUUGAAUUCUCUUCCUUUCUCCAACAGCGUUGUCAUAGGCUUGGCAAUCUUAGAGAACCCUUCAAUAAAUCUCCGGUAAUAUCCUGCGAGUCCCAAGAAUCUUCGGACUUCAGUAACUGUAGUGGGUAUGCUUCACACCACUAUCUCCUUGACUUUAGCAGGAUCCACUAAUAUCCCUCCAUUAGAAAUAAUAUGUCCAAGGAAUGGCACCUCGUCAAUCCAAAACUCGCAUUUACUGUACUUGGCGUAGAGUUGAUUAUCUCGUAGCUUCUGUAGCACCAAUCUCAGAUGUUCCUCAUGAUCAUUAUCACUCUUGGAAUAACUAAAAAUAUCGUGAUGAAAACCACGACGAAUCUGUCCAGAUCAUGAACACCUUAUUCUUCUGAUCCAUAAAAUAGGCUGGUGCAUUAGUUAGUCCAAAUGACAUAAUAGUGAACUCAUAUAAACUAUAUAGGGUCAAGAAAUCCGUCUUGGAAUUAUCCGAUGGUCUAAUCUUCAUUUGAUGGUAACCCGAUCGGAGAUCAAUCUUCGAGAAUACCCUUGCACAUCUCAUCUGAUUAAAUAAAUCCUUAAUGCAUGGUAAUGGACACUUGUUCUUCACAGUGACGUUGUUAAGGGACCUAUAAUCCACGCACAUCCCUUGCAAUCCAUCAUUCUUCUGUACGAACAAAACCGAUGCUCUCCAAGGUGAAGACUCGGACGAAUGUACCCAGCCUCUUGUAACUUCGUUAAGUGCUUCUUGAGUUCUUUUAACUCUUCUACAUACAUCCUAUAUGGCCGUUUAGAAAUAGGAGCAGUUCCAUGUAAGAGAUCUAUGACAAACUCAACUUCCGUAUUUGGUGGCAUCCCUGGUAACUCCACUGGAAAGACAUCCGGAAAAUCCUUAACCACACGAAUGUUGUCACCAACAAACUUCCCAUCGACUAAGAAUGCCGCUAGUCUGAUGGUGGUAGUUACUGCAACUUCAACUUCAAAUCUUUGUCCUUUGGAACUGGUGGGUUCUAUGGUUCCUUUAGCACAAUGUAUAGACUACCUUUGCCUUUCUUAACCAUGACAUACCAAGGAUCACGUCUAUAGUGCUCUCUUCUAACACUAUAGGGGUAGCCCAUCAGGGUUAGAAAUACAAGGUACGAAAGAAAGGAUUGUAGACAAGGCGAGUAAUUACGAAUCAUGUUACUUUGGGGGAUUCAUUAGUUAAGUGUGUUGCCUACUAAAGCUAAUUCAUUACCUUAUGGUGGUACAUGCUAAGAUGUCCGUCUAUACUAUUUCAAUCAAUCAAAGAAGCAAAUCAGACAUUGAUCAUCAGAACAAUCAACCAACAUUUUUAAUAGAGAAAAUAAUUUUAAUUUUUUUCUUAGGUCUCCUAUCUCUUAAGAAGUUCAUAAAUGUAGGAUUCCAAGGUGUGAAAUCCAUCUUGUCUCGGAGUAGAAAAGGUAAGAAUCAUAAGAGUAGAACAAUAGAAGUUGAGACAAGAUCAAGAUAAGUAUAGAGAGAAUCAGAGUAAGGUAAGUAUAGAAUGAAUCUGAAUAAGAUAAGUAGGUAAGGGUUUGUCCAUUUCUAUCUAGGUUUCGUCCUACAGUCAACAUUUCCUCUGAUACCACUUCUGUCACACCCGGCUUUAAGGAACAAAGUCAGGUGCAUCUCAUACAUGCGCCAAGAAGACAACAUAUAU
rnacentral:lncRNA from 1 species